AGACACUGACCACAGAGAAAAUGUAUUUCAUAAAAACAACAAAACACAAAAAGAACAAAAAAGAAACUUUGCUUUUGAGUUUUUGCCUUUAUGGAUUUUUACCUAUGGUGUCAGUUUAGAUGGGGUGACCAAGAGGGUCACCUCAAGGCACUUUAUAUUGUAAGAUAAAACCCCUAAAAUAAUGACCCCAUUGGACCAAGCACAAGAAAUUGAAAUCUAUUAAUUACCGUAUUUUUCUGACCAUAAGGCACACGGAUUAUAAGGUGCACUGUCGAUGAACGGGUCUGUUUUCAUAGAAAAGGCGCACCUGUAGCUGAGAUAUACUGAGUGUGAACAUUCUCAAAACUGUAUUGUAUAUAGUUUUUUUUAUUGUGUAAAUUUAAUUUUUGUAAAACUAAGGUUCCACAUGUCACUGUUGAAGUGGGGCAUUAAUCAGUGUGACUCCACUUGUAAACAUGCUGCAUGUGUGGGGGUUCCCAGCCAGAGCUGCAUGGACUCCACACUGGGAUGAGCAGAGGCCUGCUGUUCCUGUGUGACACUGAUUUUGUGUGUGGCACUUUGUCUUUUAGAGCUGCAUGGACUCCACACUGGGAUGAGCAGAGGCCUGCUGUUGCUGUGUGACACUGAUUUUGCUGCUGCACUUUGUCUUUUAGAGCUGCAUGGACUCCACACUGAAAUAAAUCCAGUUUCCAGCCAGUCUGUGUCUGUCGUCACAACGCAGUCAACUGUUUGAAAUCUGCUACACACCGAAUUAUAAGGCGCAUUAAGCAAAACAAGCAUUAGCAUUCAUCCUCCAGCUUCACUGUUUAUGCUAUGCUAAUAUAGCUGUGUUGCUAGCGAUCACGGAGCAAAUCAUUAUAU